rnacentral:rRNA from 17 species
AAAUUGAAGAGUUUGAUCAUGGCUCAGAUUGAACGCUGGCGGCAGGCCUAACACAUGCAAGUCGAACGGUAACAGGAAGCAGCUUGCUGCUUUGCUGACGAGUGGCGGACGGGUGAGUAAUGUCUGGGAAACUGCCUGAUGGAGGGGGAUAACUACUGGAAACGGUGGCUAAUACCGCAUAACGUCGCAAGACCAAAGAGGGGGACCUUCGGGCCUCUUGCCAUCAGAUGUGCCCAGAUGGGAUUAGCUUGUUGGUGAGGUAACGGCUCACCAAGGCGACGAUCCCUAGCUGGUCUGAGAGGAUGACCAGCCACACUGGAACUGAGACACGGUCCAGACUCCUACGGGAGGCAGCAGUGGGGAAUAUUGCACAAUGGGCGCAAGCCUGAUGCAGCCAUGCCGCGUGUAUGAAGAAGGCCUUCGGGUUGUAAAGUACUUUCAGCGGGGAGGAAGGUGUUGUGGUUAAUAACCGCAGCAAUUGACGUUACCCGCAGAAGAAGCACCGGCUAACUCCGUGCCAGCAGCCGCGGUAAUACGGAGGGUGCAAGCGUUAAUCGGAAUUACUGGGCGUAAAGCGCACGCAGGCGGUCUGUCAAGUCGGAUGUGAAAUCCCCGGGCUCAACCUGGGAACUGCAUUCGAAACUGGCAGGCUUGAGUCUUGUAGAGGGGGGUAGAAUUCCAGGUGUAGCGGUGAAAUGCGUAGAGAUCUGGAGGAAUACCGGUGGCGAAGGCGGCCCCCUGGACAAAGACUGACGCUCAGGUGCGAAAGCGUGGGGAGCAAACAGGAUUAGAUACCCUGGUAGUCCACGCCGUAAACGAUGUCUACUUGGAGGUUGUGCCCUUGAGGCGUGGCUUCCGGAGCUAACGCGUUAAGUAGACCGCCUGGGGAGUACGGCCGCAAGGUUAAAACUCAAAUGAAUUGACGGGGGCCCGCACAAGCGGUGGAGCAUGUGGUUUAAUUCGAUGCAACGCGAAGAACCUUACCUGGUCUUGACAUCCACGGAAGUUUUCAGAGAUGAGAAUGUGCCUUCGGGAACCGUGAGACAGGUGCUGCAUGGCUGUCGUCAGCUCGUGUUGUGAAAUGUUGGGUUAAGUCCCGCAACGAGCGCAACCCUUAUCCUUUGUUGCCAGCGAUUAGGUCGGGAACUCAAAGGAGACUGCCAGUGAUAAACUGGAGGAAGGUGGGGAUGACGUCAAGUCAUCAUGGCCCUUACGACCAGGGCUACACACGUGCUACAAUGGCGCAUACAAAGAGAAGCGACCUCGCGAGAGCAAGCGGACCUCAUAAAGUGCGUCGUAGUCCGGAUUGGAGUCUGCAACUCGACUCCAUGAAGUCGGAAUCGCUAGUAAUCGUGGAUCAGAAUGCCACGGUGAAUACGUUCCCGGGCCUUGUACACACCGCCCGUCACACCAUGGGAGUGGGUUGCAAAAGAAGUAGGUAGCUUAACCUUCGGGAGGGCGCUUACCACUUUGUGAUUCAUGACUGGGGUGAAGUCGUAACAAGGUAACCGUAGGGGAACCUGCGGUUGGAUCACCUCCUUA